rnacentral:lncRNA from 1 species
AUGGGAGCCAGGCCCUGGCAAAUCCCCAUGUCCAUAUGCCACGUGCUGGCUGCCUUCCAGGAUGAGAGCCCAGCCUGUGCCUGUUCCUCGUCCCAGACCCACAGACUGUCAGUGCUGAGGACCGACAGGACCUGCCCCUCCUGCUCGUGCACUCCCUGCUUCUCCCGGCUCCCGUGGCUCCCCCCGUGGGCUGUCCCCCGCUUCUCCCCGCGCUGGCUGGGCCAUGGAUGCGCUCCUGGUGUGCCAUGGAUGCUGUCCUGGUGUGCUGCAAUCUGGGGAGCAGCACAGACACCCCAAAGUGUCUGCCAUGUCUGGAAGCCUCUCUUCUGCCUGGUUCAUGUUGCCAAUCUGCCACAGGGCUGCACGGACUCGCCUGAGCCCUGAGCAUCAGGGAUGCUGCUGCCCACGGGACUGAAAGCCAAGGAAGAUUCAGGCUCAUGAAAACCCUCCCUGCAGGGAGGCCGGGCAAGGAGCUGCCCCCAAGGGGGAUGGGGCAGGGCUGGUGCUGGGUGGGACGAAGGGGGCCCAGCACAAGCUGAGGAGGGCAGUGGCUGCCCAGGGCUGGCAGGCAAGGUGCUGAUUUUGGUGCUGUCAGGUGCCCUGUUCAGGGGGGCUGUGCCUGGGACCGCCCCUCACGGCUCACAGGGACCGUGCCCAGCACCCACGGGAGAGGGGACCCUCCUUGGGUGCCUGGGGAUACAACGGGAGCCCCCCAGCCCCGGGACGUGCCCACCCUUUCCCUUGGGUACAGAGGAGAUGCUCUCCCCUCCUGCCCCCUGGCAGGGGUCACUCAAGGAGGCUCUUCACUCUUCCCAUUUCUCCCCCGUAGGGUAGGAUCUCUUUGUCUCCUCAUGCCACGUUUGCCUUGUGUGGCCCUUAUUUCUGAUGUGAUAUUUAUUGAUGGCUGGAAUGACCUUAUACUUAUCAUGUGCUGUCUGGAAGUGCAAUAUCUGAGAGACUCUACAGUCACAACGUCUUUUCGGUGUAUCAUUUGCCUAAUACAGUAUUAAAUAUUUUUUUAAUUUGAAGAGUCAGUGAGCCCUUUAUAUUGAUGCCCUAUUUCUUUCAUCAUAUUAUUGGUACUGCAUGGACUCCAAACCCUGGAUCGGGUCAGGAAAGGAUGUAUGUGUGUUCCAAUAAACAGGAUUUUAAAACACUGCUGGCUUUGAGC